rnacentral:rRNA from 1 species
UAUUUCUGGGGGAGCGGUUAAAUGCGAUAAUCCUAGGAAGACCACCUGUGGCGAAGGCGCCCAACUAGAACAGUUCUGACGGUGAGGGAUGAAAGCUAGGGGAGCGAUCCGGAUUAGAUACCCGAGUAGUCCUAGCUGUAAACUCUGUGAACUAGGUGUCGCAUAUUCUACGCGAAUAUGCGGUGUCGAAACGAAGGUGCUAAGUUCACCGCCUGGGAAGUACGGUCGCAAGACUGAAACUUAAAGGAAU